rnacentral:rRNA from 1 species
UACACGCUGUGACUAGCAUAUCAAUAAGCGGAGGAAAAGAAACUAACAAGGAUUCCCCUAGUAACGGCGAGUGAAGCGGGAAGAGCUCAAAUUUGAAAUCUUAAAGGGUUUCCCUUUACGAAUUGUAGUUUAAAGAAGUGUUUUCUGUUGAGGUUUUGGUAAAAGUUCUUUGGAAUAGGACAUCAUAGAGGGUGAGAAUCCCGUAUUUGACCUUUACUUUCAACUUUGUGAUACACUUUCAAAGAGUCGGAUUGUUUGGGAAUGCAGUCCAAAAUGGGUGGUAAAUUUCAUCUAAAGCUAAAUAUUGGCGAGAGACCGAUAGCGAACAAGUACCUGUGAGGGAAAGAUGAAAAGAACUUUGAAAAGAGAGUUAAACAGUACGUGAAAUUGUCAAAAGGGAAGCGUUUGACACCAGUGUUGUUUUUCUGAAAAUCAAUUAAAGAACUGUUUAUGCUAAGCUGUUUAGACUUUAUCAGCUAUCUGUUUAGUUUUGAGCUUUUCUUUAAUGCACUUUUCAGUUAACAAGUCAACAUCAAUUUCUUUUGCUGUAAAAAAGCUUGAGGAAGGUGGCUUGAGAUUCGUCUUAAGUGUUUAUAGCCUCUUGCCUAUGCAGUCGGAGAGAUUGAGGUCUGCAGCGUAGAUCCUUCGGGGCUAAAUGCAUUUGUGCUAAGUUAUAGCAUUUUAUAGACAACUUGUUGACUAUGAUUUGUCUUGUAGCUUACUCGCUUAUGUUAUUUUACCUACGCUUAGGAUGUUGAAGAUGUAGCACAUCAU